CGUGUAGGCGGCCAUGUAUGUCGGAUGUGAAAUCCCUCGACUCAAUCGAGGAACUGCAUUCGAAACUGCGUGGCUUGAGUUCAGAAGGGGAGAGCGGAAUUCCUGGUGGAGCGGUGAAAUGCGUAGAGAUCAGGAGGAACACCGGUGGCGAAGGCGGCUCUCUAGUCUGCAACUGACGCUGAGGCGCGAAAGCCAGGGGAGCGAACAGGAUUAGAUACCCUGGUAGUCC
rnacentral:rRNA from 1 species